AAGAAAUUAGUUAAAAUAUAACAUUAAUUUGUCAAAUUAAAAUUAUCUAAAAAAUAUAUCUUA
rnacentral:tRNA from 2 species